UGGGGAAUAUUGCACAAUGGGCGAAAGCCUGAUGCAGCAACGCCGCGUGCGGGAUGACGGCCUUCGGGUUGUAAACCGCUUUCAGCAGGGACGAAGGUUUUCUGACGGUACCUGCAGAAGAAGCACCGGCUAACUACGUGCCAGCAGCCGCGGUGAUACGUAGGGUGCGAGCGUUGUCCGGAAUUAUUGGGCGUAAAGAGCUUGUAGGCGGUCCGUUGCGUCGGAAGUGAAAACUCAGGGCUUAACCCUGAGCCUGCUUUCGAUACGGGCGGACUUGAGGGAUGUAGGGGAGAACGGAAUUCCUGGUGGAGCGGUGGAAUGCGCAGAUAUCAGGAGGAACACCAGUGGCGAAGGCGGUUCUCUGGACAUUUCCUGACGCUGAGAAGCGAAAGCGUGGGGAGCAAAACAGGCUUAGAUACCCUGGUAGUCCACGCCGUAAACGGUGGGCACUAGGUGUGGGACCCAUUCCACGGGUUCCGUGCCGUAGCUAACGCAUUAAGUGCCCCGCCU
rnacentral:rRNA from 1 species